AUUGAACGCUGGCGGCAGGCCUAACACAUGCAAGUCGAACGAGUGGCGGACGGGUGAGUAAUGUCUGUGAAACUGCCUGAUGGAGGGGGAUAACUACUGGAAACGGUAGCUAAUACCGCAUACCAUCAGAUGUGCCCAGAUGGGAUUCGCUGGUUGGUGGGGUACCGGCUCACCAAGGCGACGAUCCCUAGCUGGUCUGAGAGGAUGACCAGCCACGCUGGAACUGAGACACGGUCCAGACUCCUACGGGAGGCAGCAGUGGGGAAUAUUGCACAAGAGGCGCAAGCCUGAUGCAGCAAUGCCGCGUGUAUGAGGAAGGCCUUCGGGUUGUAAAAUACUUUCAGCGGGGAGGCGUUACCCGCAGAAGAAGCACCGGCUAACUCCGUACCAGCAGCCGCGGUAAUUC
rnacentral:rRNA from 1 species